GCUCAGGGAUUGCUUGUAGUAACUCUUUCCCAUUGCUCACUGCGUCCUCCCCAGCCCACACCCCACAACCCUUCACCCCUGACUUUGGAGGAACAAGAGACCAUUUUUCUCCGGAAAGGCUUGGGGAGCUGCCUGGCUCCCCACACAUGGGGCAAAAUUGGUUCAGACCACAGUUAUCAUGGAGAGGGAAAAACCCUUGUCCAGCAGCACAGUGUCCUGUAGGUGGCGCCAUUCUGGGGAUACCAGUAAGGGGACAGAUACAAAAGAAGGUGACACAAUGCCUCUUAAAACAUGGACUAAGCAUCAAGCACAUCUGAAUCCACGGAUGGAAGUUCCUAUGCGGGGGACCUCCUCACCCCCAGCCCAGGCCUGGCUCUGUUCCGUUUGGCUCUUGUCUCUUACCCGUUGGACUGUUCCUGAGUUGCAUCCUUUAUAAACAAAACUGUAAAUGUGUGUAUGUGUGAAAUAUAUGUGUUAAGAAAAACCAUUAACUAAGCAUCCGGAUAUAUUGGUCACUACGAUGAGGGUGGUGAACGUGAGCCUUUGCAGCAGUCGGAACUCUCAGAAGGCAGGAGGGUAAAACAGAAGGCAAGGACAGGGACAAUGACCGGCCGUCUCCGACAACGCUCAUCAGUCAUCAUGACAGAGCAUCUUUCCGGCACGUAAACGUGGCACGCGGCCUGCGGCUCAGGGGCAGUGAGCAUUGCGUUUCUGGUGAUAGGGAUUCAUCGGGGCUGGUGACACAGGUGCCGGGACUUCCAUGUGCCUGCACCAAGGGGAGCAGGAGAAUUAGUGGCCGACUCUUUCAUCCAGGGAUUCAGGCACCUGUGGACUCAGGGGGCACGGAUAGGGCCGAACGGGAGAAGCUGGGAGGGAGUGGAGCUCGGAGGGCCUCACGGUGGAAGUGACUUUUCUGUGGGGUUUUAGUCGAGACGGGUGGUGGGAAGAGGAGGGGAGGGCUUCCCGGCUUGCCCUAGGCUUGCGCUAGGGCUGACGGUGCAUCUUUGGAGGAGGGGAGGAGAAGGCGAAGCUGGCUGGGCUGGUGUGUCAUCCAAGCCGAGGACAGUCUUGGGGACACAAGGAGUCUUGAAUGGUGUUAGAUGGGGGACAGUGAGAGCGCUGUCAUUCACACUAGGUGGAAAGAGCCAAGAGGGUGAACUUGGCAAAGGCUUCUGCGCUAGGAGCUACCUUCAAGGCCCUGGAGCCCUGGGUGGGCCAGUGGUGACUCCGGAGCCAGCAGCCUCAGCACCCCUUGUUGGGGACCAAGACAGCCAUUCCUUAGGCCAGAAGUCUGGAAACAGGACUCCUACAUCCCAGCCAAGUGCCUCCCUCCAUCCUCCUGGAUGACCCCUGGCUGUGCCCCCAUGACUUGGCUCGCUCUCUGACCAAUUUAAUGUAUCCUAAUGUGAUUAUAUGGACGUACCCUCCACACCCCUGUAGUGUCCAACUACACCCAAGACUAGUGGGUGAGAUCUGGAUACCUGGGGAGGGACACCCGGGCCCUCCUCCUUGGCUGUGGAAAGACAUGAUGACCUCUCAGUUGUGGUUUUCUGGAAAAGGGCACUUGGGGAGCUAAGAUGGGGCAGAGAUUUCCCUUUCUUCUCCUUUUUUGGCCCAAUUCCUGGGGGUUACCCUCUGUUAGGAGCCUCCCCAGCUUCUGUUCCUCCUUCACGACUCACAUCUGCUCCAACGUGGUGUGGCUUGAGGGGCCUGAGGGUCCUGGAUUUGAAUCUCAGUUCCAUCACUGUCGGGACCAUGAACCAAUUAUUUGAUCGGUUUUCGUUAGCUUCCAUAUCUAUAAAAUGGUGAGAAUUAUAGUACCUAGUUUACAGGGCCUUAGCGAAGGUUAAAUAAAAUAAUGUAACAUAACACAGUGGCAGGCAUAUAGCAAGCAUUGGGUAAACCUUAACCAGAAAUCUUUAAACCAGUGGGAUAAUCUAAUUAUGAGAGCACUAAGUACAAUGGUCAGGGAGGAGAGGAAGGCCCCACAGGACACAGGGUUGCUCUCUGGAAGCAAGCGGAACAUUGUCCUGUCAGAGAUUGGCUGAAAAAGAGCUGAGGUGACCUCCUGUGGUACUCCAGCUCUAGGCUACCUGAAGAGGAAGACUGUGCCUGACCCAGGGCUGGUCCUUAGUAAAGUUUUAUUGGAUAGUAUUGGGGAAAUAUAAAACCUGGAAAACCUCUCCACAAAGGUAGUAGAGACCUAUACCACAAAGGUAGUUGAGUAAGCAUUAAACCAGAAUGUGAUGUGCACUGGAGGGGUUCAAAGUAUGCCACCCCAAAUCAUGCCACGCUGGCGUAAUGAUUUCUUUCAGCUGGAGGCGACUGAGAAAAAGAAGACCCAGGAAAAACUCUCUGCCCUCCCCUUUCUACCAGGAAAGGCAGGACAAUUCUUAGACUCUUACCAGCCUAGAGAUAGCACCAGAGGAUACACAUCACAAACCUUACUAAAUAACUUAUUUAGUUAUGACAAAUAUUUACAUACAUUUGAAAAGGACAGAGAAAGAAACAAAACAGUGAGGAAGAGAGAAAUCUCUUUCCUUAUUUUCAACAGGGGGAAUCAAGCCUCUUAUUUUUAAUUUGUACCUGCUCUUACAAUUUAUGAUAAAAACUACAACAACUACAAAAAUUGAGAGGUUGCUAAAGGACAGAUAGUUGUUCAUCGGUUUAAUAUUCACAAAAUCCCUGUAAGAUCCAUAUAAGUAUGGACCCAUGCUACAGAUGAGGAAACUGAGGCACAAGAUUAUUUUACUUGUCUAAGGUCACUGAGAGGGAGAGCCAGGAUUUAAAUCCAAGCACUCUUGCUGAGUGGAUUGAUGAAGAGAGGGAAAGAUGGAUGAUUGGGACCUGGAAAGGGAUGAGGAGUUUUUCAAACUGCGAUUGAAUUUGGAAAAUGCUACCGAAGGCUUGUUUGAAGUCUACAAGAUAAUGCACCUGUCUGAAGAUCGAUACUGUCUUGCGGUUCAGCAAGGCAAUUCCUUUCUCAUGCUCUCUUCAUUCCAGUUUCUGGGUUCAGUACUCAUCAUCUCCAAAAUCCCUCCAUCAGUAACCGUUUUUGAUGUGUUUAAGUGGAAAUAUUGCAAAAUCAGAUGAUUGCUGAUUUUAAUCUUUGUACACAUGUCACGCCCUCGAUGAUUCGUUUUAUCCAACGUUUGCAGUUUGGGAGAAGGAAGCUCGGCUGGGUUUCCAGUUGCAGCACACACGUGAUGAGGCUGUUGUUCUCCAGGCUGCCCCCCGUUUGCAGGAGAGAGGGGCUGGGCUUUACUUUUAACACCCUCUUACCUUUAAGUUCCCUUCCCCGUGAUACAAAACUAUGUCAGAGGAUUCACUUAGGGGAGGAAAUCGCUUCCUUUUCUGUUCCCAGAAAUAAAGUUCUGCAUUUUGGAAAUAUUACUUUAAAAAUGUUUUUCAUGCUGCUUUUUUAGAAAUAUUUUCCCCCAAAGAACAUAAGAUUUGCUGAAUGGCAUUCUGGUACUGUGCAGUGUAGAUUGUGAAAUUCAAAAUUGUGUCG